rnacentral:rRNA from 1 species
UGGGGAAUUUUGGACAAUGGGGGCAACCCUGAUCCAGCCAUGCCGCGUGAGUGAAGAAGGCCUUCGGGUUGUAAAGCUCUUUCGUGAGGGAAGAAACGGUCAAAGUGAAUAGCUUUGGUCACUGACGGUACCUCAAGAAGAAGCACCGGCUAACUACGUGCCAGCAGCCGCGGUAAUACGUAGGGUGCGAGCGUUAAUCGGAAUUACUGGGCGUAAAGCGUGCGCAGGCGGUUUGUUAAGUCAGAUGUGAAAGCCCCGGGCUUAACCUGGGAACUGCGUUUGAGACUGGCAAGCUAGAGUCUGUCAGAGGGGGGUAGAAUUCCACGUGUAGCAGUGAAAUGCGUAGAGAUGUGGAGGAAUACCGAUGGCGAAGGCAGCCCCCUGGGAUAAGACUGACGCUCAUGCACGAAAGCGUGGGGAGCAAACAGG